rnacentral:rRNA from 1 species
GAUGAACGCUGGCGGCGUGCCUAAUACAUGCAAGUCGAGCGAACAGACGAGGAGCUUGCUCCUCUGACGUUAGCGGCGGACGGGUGAGUAACACGUGGAUAACCUACCUAUAAGACUGGGAUAACUUCGGGAAACCGUAGCUAAUACCGGAUAAUAUAUUGAACUGCAUGGUUCAAUAGUGAAAGACGGUUUUGCUGUCACUUAUAGAUGGAUCCGCGCCGCAUUAGCUAGUUGGUAAGGUAACGGCUUAACAAGGCAACGAUGCGUAGCCGACCUGAGAGGGUGAACGGCCACACUGGAACUGAGACACGGUCCAGACUCCUACGGGAGGCAGCAGUAGGGAAUCUUCCGCAAUGGGCGAAAGCCUGACGGAGCAGCGCCGCGUGAAUGAUGAAGGUCUUCGGAUCGUAAAACUCUGUUAUUAUGGAAGAACAAAUGUGUAAGUAACUAUGCUCGUCUUGACGGUACCUAAUCAGAAAGCCACGGCUAACUACGUG